rnacentral:rRNA from 1 species
UGGGGAAUAUUGCACAAUGGGGGAAACCCUGAUGCAGCGACGCCGCGUGAGCGAAGAAGUAUUUCGGUAUGUAAGGCUCUAUCAGCAGGGAAGAAAAUGACGGUACCUGACUAAGAAGCCCCGGCUAACUACGUGCCAGCAGCCGCGGUAAUACGUAGGGGGCAAGCGUUAUCCGGAUUUACUGGGUGUAAAGGGAGCGUAGACGGCUGUGCAAGUCUGAAGUGAAAGCCCGGGGCUCAACCCCGGGAGCUGCUUUGGAAAUACUGUGUAGCUUGAGUGCUGGAGAGGUAAGUGGAAUUCCUAGUGUAGCGGUGAAAUGCGUAGAUAUUAGGAGGAACACCAGUGGCGAAGGCGGCUUGCUGGACGACAACUGACGCUGAGGCGCGAAAGCGUGGGGAGCAAACAGGAUUAGAUACCC